UAGGGAAUCUUCCGCAAUGGACGCAAGUCUGACGGAGCAACGCCGCGUGAGUGAAGAAGGAUUUCGGUUCGUAAAACUCUGUUGUUAGAGAAGAACAGCGCAUAGAGUAACUGUUAUGCGUGUGACGGUAUCUAACCAGAAAGCCACGGCUAACUACGUGCCAGCAGCCGCGGUAAUACGUAGGUGGCAAGCGUUGUCCGGAUUUAUUGGGCGUAAAGCGAGCGCAGGCGGUCAAUUAAGUCUGAUGUGAAAGCCCCCGGCUCAACCGGGGAGGGUCAGUGGAAACUGGUUGACUUGAGUGCAGAAGAGGAGAGUGGAAUUCCAUGUGUAGCGGUGAAAUGCGUAGAUAUAUGGAGGAACACCAGUGGCGAAGGCGACUCUCUGGACUGUAACUGACGCUGAGGCUCGAAAGCGUGGGUAGCAAACAGG
rnacentral:rRNA from 1 species